AAGUCGUAACAAGGUAACCGUAGGUGAACCUGCGGUUGGAUCAUUACUGAUUAUUGGGUUUGAAAAAGGUUUGAUGCUCCUAGUUGAGCUCACCUUUUUUCCUACUCUUUUACACUUUGUGCAAUGAAAUGUUUUUUGGGUUUGACCUCUUGUCAAAGAGAGGAUGAACCCAGCAUUGAAUUCAAAACCACUGUUUUAAAUUGACUGAACUGUUUAUGAAUAGUAAACAAUAACAA
rnacentral:misc_RNA from 1 species